rnacentral:rRNA from 1 species
CUGCGGAGGANCAUUAUCGAAUUAUAAGCGAGGGUUGUCGCUGGCCUCUUUCGAGGCAUGUGCACGCCCGAGCUCUUAAAUCCACAACACACCUGUGAACCCACCGUAGGCCUUCGGGCUUAUGUAUCAUAUACUCUGAAUGUGUCAUAGAAUGUUCAUGUUGCCUUAAAACGCAAUCAAAUACAACUUUCAACAANGAAUCUCUUGGCUCUCGCAUCGAUGAAGAACGCAGCGAAAUGCGAUAAGUAAUGUGAAUUGCAGAUUUUCAGUGAAUCAUCGAAUCUUUGAACGCACCUUGCGCUCCUUGGUAUUCCGAGGAGCAUGCCUGUUUGAGUGUCAUUAAAUNCUCAACCCCACCGAUUUGCUUUGGGGGGAUUGGACUUGGAGUGUGCUGGCGAAGGUCGGCUCCUCUUUAAAUGCAUCAGUGGAGAGAAACUUGCCCCAGUGUGAUAAUCCUGUUGCNCUGUGGUGGGCGAAGUCUGCUUCCAACCGUCCCUCCGGGGACAUACAUCAUCUCAUUUUGACCUCAAAUCAGGUAGGACUACCCGCUGAACUUAAGCAUAU